GGGUCAUUAGGGUGGUCGUGCCACCGGUACGUACUGGUCUCACUGAUUCCUCCUUCCUGAAGAACCUUAAUGCCAUUAAUUUGGUGUUGCGGGGAAACAGGACUGUUACUUUGAAAAAAUUAGAGUGUUUAAAGCAAUCUAACGCUUGAAUACAUUAGCAUGGAAUAAUGAAAUAGGACGAUCGAUCCUAUUUUGUUGGUUUCUAGGAUUGACGUA
rnacentral:rRNA from 1 species